rnacentral:lncRNA from 12 species
CUCACAUGAGUUACAUAUUUAUGUGUCCAGGUAGAUUAGCAGAUACCUAAGGAGGGAGAGAGCUGGGACCACGGAAAGUAAAGCCCGGCGUAGCUUGUCUGAAAGGAGGAAGGAAAGGAGCUUGAAAUAGGGCUGAAACCACAGAGCAUCUUCCAGAAAAGAAGCAGCUGGCAGGGCCCCCGGCCUCCCCAGGGCCAGCAGGGCUGCCAGCACGGAGCAGCAGCAGGAGGUGCGAUGAACGCAGUCCUAGAGGGGGGGUCUCUGGCUCCCAGCACACGUGCUCCCCGGAGACCCCAACCCCAGCGCCGCCCACCAUCACCAAAUCCAGUCUGAGAGAGAUUUUGGCAAGCGCCCCUCGCUCGGGAAGGCCGCCCAGCCGGGCGUGGAAGUGUGAGCUGUAGAAACGGCGAGAAAUCACUCCAGCAGUUUGCUCUCACGAGUCCUGACACCUCCCACUUAUCGUCUGUCUCUGUCACAUUAAAUCGAAAGCCGUGGGAGAUGUGACCCCCAAACCAAGACGUCGUCAGCAGGUGACUGAGCCGGGAGGUUUGUCUCCACACAGGCAGCGCCCGAGAGCGGUUUCCAUGUAGAACAUGACAAAUCCGUGCAAGGGGAGGCCGGCUCCCAGGGAAGCUGGAACAAAAUGACGCAGCUGAGAGAUUCUCACACUGCCCUCAAUGGGAAGAGCAGAGGCAGGAGCGCGGGGAUGCUGCUCAUCCCCACAGCUCUGCCAGGCCUGCUGCAAUGUCUGGAAAACACCCAUGGACGUUUGAUUUCAGGGUCCAAUUCUUAUUUCCCCCCAGAAUGCUAAGGAGCUCUUGGUAUGGGCUCAUUUGCAGCAGAAAUGGAGGAAGUGGCUGGAAAGGGGUGGCGUGUAAUGGGAAGGAAACACCAAACACAAGAGUCUACGUCUCCAUCAGAUGCUUUCAGGCCCCAGUCUGCACACACCCGCGUGAGAGGCUCCCAUCGUGAGACCAUCAGAAUCCCUGCAAGAAGAAACCGCCUCUCCCCGGAAACUAUAAGGACAUAUUUUGCAUUGCUCAUACUCACCUUCCAUCAGAAUUGACGGUGGGCCAGGCCCGCGUGGAAGGCUGGACUCUUGGUCUGUGGAUGAGUCUGGAUGCGCAUCGGCGGCCGGGAAGAGUAGAAGGUUGCGUGUUCUGUGUGUCAUGUCGCGUCCCCUGCAGAGUCUGGGCAGCACCUCACAGCCAGACGUGCUCCUGGAUCUGCAGAGACGCCCGUGAAGGUUCACCCUAAGAGAAUGAAUAAAGACUAUAACUGGCUUCA